rnacentral:rRNA from 1 species
GUGUCAGCCGCCGCGGUAAUACGUAGGGUGCAAGCGUUGUCCGGAAUUAUUGGGCGUAAAGAGCUCGUAGGCGGUCUGUCGCGUCGGAUGUGAAAAUCCAGGGCUCAACCCUGGACCUGCAUUCGAUACGGGCAGACUAGAGUUCGGUAGGGGAGACUGGAAUUCCUGGUGUAGCGGUGAAAUGCGCAGAUAUCAGGAGGAACACCGGUGGCGAAGGCGGGUCUCUGGGCCGAAACUGACGCUGAGGAGCGAAAGCGUGGGGAGCGAACAGGAUUAGAAACCCUCGUAGUCC